rnacentral:rRNA from 1 species
GAUGAACGCUGGCGGCGUGCCUAAUACAUGCAAGUCGAGCGAACGGACGAGAAGCUUGCUUCUCUGAUGUUAGCGGCGGACGGGUGAGUAACACGUGGAUAACCUACCUAUAAGACUGGGAUAACUUCGGGAAACCGUAGCUAAUACCGGAUAAUAUUUUGAACCGCAUGGUUCAAAAGUGAAAGACGGUCUUGCUGUCACUUAUAGAUGGAUCCGCGCUGCAUUAGCUAGUUGGUAAGGUAACGGCUUACCAAGGCAACGAUGCAUAGCCGACCUGAGAGGGUGAUCGGCCACACUGGAACUGAGACACGGUCCAAACUCCUACGGGAGGCAGCAGUAGGGAAUCUUCCGCAAUGGGCGAAAGCCUGACGGAGCAACGCCGCGUGAGUGAUGAAGGUCUUCGGAUCGUAAAACUCUGUUAUUAGGGAAGAACAUAUGUGUAAGUAACUGUGCACGUCUUGACGGUACCUAAUCAGAAAGCCACGGCUAACUACGUG